GACGUCAAGAUUUGACGUCAUAAACACGACCAACUUUGGUGUUUAUGACGUCGAUAAUCGACGCCAUAAACACGAUCAACUUAGAUGUUUAUGACGUCGAUAUUCGACGUCAUAAACACGAUCAACUUUGGUGUUGAUGACGUCGAUAUUCGACGUC